UUCCGCUUCACAUCCACGGCCUUGGCCUUCACAUUCGCCUCCUGAAUCCCAUCGAGACACGUCUCGUCAUCCGUGAGGGCGGCGCUCAGCCACGUCUGGGCAUUGCUCAUCUGGAAUCGAAACGUCUCCUUCCGGAGGUGGUGCAGCUCGGCGAGCGUCUCGCUCAGCUCGUCCACCGACGUCGACAUCAGGUCCACGCAGUCGCCGAUCGCCGAGAGCUGCAGCUUCGUCCCCUUGAAGGAGGCGGAGAGCUGGGCGAGGAAGCCGGAGACGCGGAGUGAGCGGGCGAGGCUAACGUUCACAGCGGCCUGGGCGAGGUCGCGGGGGGUCUUGGCGGGGCCGGCGUAGUUGGAUAGAGUGCGGAGGCAGAUUUUGGGGUAAGUGGCGUGGCGACAUGAUGAACGGACGAUAUUUGAUGCUGGGUGGUGUUUCCCUGCGGCGGAGGCGGAGUACAGCGAGCAGAAGAGGAGGACGAGGAGAGGGAGAAGAGAGAGUAGGAAACGCAUCGAGGAGGUGAGUAGAGUGAAGAUUGAAGAGUGUGGAAUUAAUCU
rnacentral:lncRNA from 1 species